GGAAAAAAAAAAAAAAAAGGAGGAAAAAAGGAGGAAAAAAAAAAAAACAAAAAAAAAAAAGGAAAACCUUCACUACACGAACCGUCGAGCAGUAUUCAGAGCGAGUAUUUGUCGUGAACUGUAGAAUAUAUCAACUGCUAACACUAUUCUUGUGUUCUGGUUGUACAGCUUCAAACGUCCGUCUCUUAAUUUAGGGGGCAGCGCCUUGCAGCACCCCCCCACCCCCCCCCGCCCUGAGGAGGAAUAUUAACCCCAAAGGAGCUGGUCCUCACUGCGUGGAGCCGGAGGAGCUGCCCGUCCCGGUCAGGCAAGGGUUGUGGCACAGGGGGGGGCGGGGGGCACGCGCUGCCCCUGGCGAUGGCUUUGCUUUUUGUCUUUCAGACGUACAUAUGCAUAUACAGUCCUGUUUUAGAUGUUCUUCUAAGGAAACCGGUUUUUAAUGUGCCAAGUUGUAUAUAUCUUGCUGCGUGGAUGUAAAGCAAUACGAUCCUGGUCUGCUGGGUGAGCUCAGCCCCCGGGCACGAUUGGGCAGCGUCGGUAGGGACUGAGAGCUGGGGAGCGCAGGUUGGUACACGGAGCACGGCAGCCCCCAGCACCACGCGUCUCAGCACAGGGCUUAGGGCAGAGAUGUCACACGCACCCAAAGCAAUGCCCCCCUCCACCCCCCAUCACCAAACGAAUCCUCAGAGGGGCUGGGAGCACCGGCCUCAUGCUCCCUGAACGAGCAGCAGAGCGAUGGGGAUGGGUGAUGCCGCGUCCCUUCCGCCCCGCUCCUCCCAGGGCCGUGCUCUCAAAUCCUCCCCUCGGGUUCCAGCUUCCUCUGGUUCCGAAGUAAUUUCUGGCAACCCAUGGGGUUUUCUGCCGAUGUGGUAGCACGUCGAGGACCCGUUUUGAUGGAAAUCAGUUUUUCUUUCCCUUUCCUGGCCUGUGGCAUCAUGAAAAUGCCACGCUGGUCCCGUACCCUUGCAUGGUCUCUUUUUAAAGUAGAGGUUCCGUGCCACGGAUCGUAGUGCUUUAAAAAAAAAUAGUAACUGAAAAAGUACCUGGAUUAAUUUCCUGCUGGUCUGACCUCAUUUCAAAGUCCAGAGGCAGUCGUGGCAUUCAAUCAAACCUACUUAGGGCAAUCCAGAUAACAUUCCAAUUAAGAUCGAGCAUCCCUUGUCUAAGAGCAAAAACGCCAGAGAGAGAAAUGAAAAUGAGAACAGAAUGAAAAAAAAAAAAAAAAAAA